rnacentral:rRNA from 1 species
UACGUAGGUGGCAAGCGUUGUCCGGAUUUUACUGGGCGUAAAGAGCGCGCAGGCGGUCGUUCAAGUCGCGUGUGAAAGCCCCCGGCUCAACUGGGGAGGGUCACGCGAUACUGAUCGACUCGAAGGCAGGAGAGGGAAGUGGAAUUCCCGGUGUAGUGGUGAAAUGCGUAGAUAUCGGGAGGAACACCCGUGGCGAAGGCGGCUCUCUGGGACGGUACUGGACGCUGAGACGCGAAAGCGUGGGGAGCGAACAGG